rnacentral:lncRNA from 1 species
AUGACAACUGUUAAUGACAAUAUGGAGGCCCAGAAUGAGGAACCUCAGCUGUCUAAACCCUCGGAUUCCAAAACCAUGGUUGUUACUACCUCAGCUUUCCAGUUCUUAGUGCCCGAGACGUUGCCUACUGAGGAAGUACCUGAGGAGAACCAGACUUUGGACCCUCUGUCAACAUACCCUUGGUCCGAAGGAGAGAAUGAAGACACAUUGGAGACCCUAGACAAAGACGAGCAGAAAGACGAAACCCCCCAUGACCGACCAUACUGGACCAAUAAAACUGAGUACUUCCUGGCCCAGUCAGAUGAAGUGACUCGAGUUUAUCCAUCAUGGGCUAAAGUCUUGCUUACAGUCCUCAUCCUGGUCACCAUCCUGCCUGUCCCUGCUUACUUCUUCCACACCAUCGUCAGGCGGCUGGCUUCUGCCACCGUGAUCCACAGUAUGACCACGGUAGUCUUCAAACCCGAAGCCAAAGGAGGUUCACCAAAGGGCCUUCCACGGCUUCAAGUGAGGCAAAGCCUGAAGAAGAUGAAUAAAAUGGAUAAAUAACCAGGGUAAAAACUUUCUACCAUGUGAGUAUUUCCUCUUGGAAAUAAAAGACUUGGUUCUUUUGGCACAACAGUUCUUUAUCAAAGCGGAAACUCCCUGGCUGGCAACGUGACAUUGGAAGAGGUAAACGUAGCAACUGCUAAAGUAACUGGACACAGAGAGCUUUUGUUUUCCUGGACUGGGGAAGUUUUUCUGGCCUGAUAGAGAUGAACAUAGCAGCCAUCCCCUACAUGUCCCACCCUUCCCCCACCAAACAUGCAGUAAUGCUGCUUGACUUCCAGUAUUUGGUUACUGGCGGCUGCUGAUCCUUCUUCUCCCAGGCUACCUUCCCCUGGGACUCGGUCUGUGCAAGAUCUGGUCCCUGUGAAACUAAAGCAAAAGCGGUGCUGGUAAAUGAAUCUUGGCUUUUGUCAUAAAAAGAAUGUCUAAUCCCCCGUCUUCCCUUCCAUUGACUAUCAAAUUCAAAGGCUAAAGUCCCGGGUCUUCUUCGCCUGGCUUCCUGUAAGUAGACUGGACCAGAUAGAGUGGAAUCACUGAUUAUGGCAAAGUGGUUAACGCUGCUGGUUGGUGCAGAUAGUUAACCACUAACUGAUAACUGUCUCCUAAAUAUCUGUUAAAUACUUGGAAUGGUCGAUUGCUUUCCUCUGUACACCAGGGAGCUUAAAACUUUACACAACAUCAUAUUUUCUACUAAGGUGGUCUGGGAGUUUGGAGGAAGGGUAUUUGGCAGAGAAUAAGGAAGAGAGUAGAAGUUGACUGCAGAGAAUGAAGAAGACCUAGGGAGAGGACUUUAUUUGGGGCAAUGUGAAAAUCAGUAAGACAAAACACACCAUAUUACAAGACUCUUAAAAUGCACAAUCCCCUUCAAAUGCAUAGAUGAGCUUAGAAGAAAUUAAAUCUUUAAAAGGCCAAAAAUUAAUCUUAAACUUGAAUUAAGAUAGUUAAGCAAGUGUAAAAGCUAGUAAUCCCUUUAGGAGAAUUGCCACUCUGAUGACUUACGGAUUUUGGUUUUAAAGGCUAGGUGAAGACAAAGUCUUCAGUCGGAUUUUUUUUUUUUAAGGAAACUCUUUUACAUAUAAAGCUAAAGGACUGGGCUGUACACUCCAUGAAAGAGUUAGAUAGCAGUAAAAUGUGUAUGUCUUAUUCCUGUCUUUGAUAAGAGGGAAAUAGUGUCUUUUUUGAGAAUUUUCAACUCUUGCAUGGGAUUUUGGUUCAAAUUCACACAACUUGCAUAGUCUGAAAAAUCCAAGUAAGUAUUAACAUAGGAGUGCCCUGGCGGCUCAGUGAGUAAAGGAUCCAGCACUGUUACAGCUGUGGCUCAGGUCAUUGCUGGGGCGAGGGUUGGAUCCCUGGUCUAGGAACUUCCCUAUGCCUUGAGUGUGGCCAAAAAAAAUUACUAUAAAAAGUGCCUGGUGGAUAGCACCUUGCCCCCGCACCUGUAUGUAUAGAUAAUGUCUGGGGGAAACACCACCUCUACCAUGCUUCCUGGGAUUCCCACCAAUAAACUAUCAAUGAACAUGAGGUCACAAAAAGAAAUCACAAAACAUGCAAAGAAACAAGGCACUCUAAAGGGAGGAUUAGCAGAAUUAGACCUGCAAAGACCUUAUAUAUCAGAAUUAUCAUGAUAUAUUAGUAUAAUAUAAAGUAAAUAUGCAUAAUGUAUUUAAAGACAAAAAGAGGAAGUUAAAAUUAAGAGCAAGAAACAAGAGAUUCUCAGAAAUGAUCAGGUAUUUGAAAAAGAACGCAGAAGGACUUUUAUCGAAUCCGAGCUGCAGUUUGAACCUAUACUGCAGCUGUGGCAACGCUGGAUCCUUAACCCUGUGCUGGGCUGGAGAUCAAACACUAGCUGCCGAAAAGACAGUGCUGGAUCCUUAGCCUGCUCUACCACAGUGGGAACUCCCCAAACAGAACUUUUAGACAUGAAAAAAAAUUAAGGAGUUCCCUUGUGUCUCAGCGGUAACAAACCUGACUAAUAUCCCUGAGGAUAUGUGUUCGAUCCCUGGUCUCGCUCGGUGGGUUGAGGAUCCAGCAUUGCCAGGAGCUGUGGUGUAGGUUGCAGACGCAGCUCGGGUCUGGCCUUGCUAUGGCUGUGGCAUAGGCCAGCAGCUGAAGCUCCGAUUCAACCCCUAGCCUGGGAACUUCCAUAUGCCAUGUGUGCAGCCCUAAAAAGACAAAAAAAAAAAAAAAAAAAAAAGAAAUGAAAGAAAAAAACCUUAAAAACAUCAGUGAAUGCAGAGUGGUUUAGCAGGUUAAGGAUCCAGCCUAGUCACUGCUAUAGCUCUGGUCACAGCUGUGGCCUGGGUUCAGUCCCUAGCUCAGGAACUUCUGCAGGAGAAGCCAAAAAAUAAAGAGAGAUGGAGAAUGGUGGGAGAAAGUCCAACAUAUAUCUAAUGGGAAUUCCAGAAAAAGAUCAUUGGAAGAAUAGGGGAGAGGCAAUACACAAAGACAGAAAGCCAAACAUAUUGCAAAAUCAAGGAAAGACACAAAUCCUUGGGCUGAGGAAACACAACAGAUACAAAGGAGGAUAGAUAUGAGGAAAGUGCAAUACACCAAAAAUAGCUAUAAAGAGCAAGCAGGCAGAAAAGACAUGAAGUGUCACCAAAAACAAUAGUUUAUAUUAGGAGUAGAAAAGAAUUUUAGGAGUUCCCGUCGUGGCGCAGUGGUUAACGAAUCCGACUAGGAACCAUGAGGUUGCUGGUUCGGUCCCUGCCCUUGCUCAGUGGGUUAACGAUCUGGCGUUGCCAUGAGCUGUGGUGUAGGUUGCAGACGCGGCUCGGAUCCCGCGUUGCUGUGGCUCUGGCGUAGGCCGGUGGCUACAGCUCCGAUUCAACCCCUAGCCUGGGAACCUCCAUAUGCUGCAGGAGCGGCCCAAGAAAUAGCAACAACAACAAAAAGACAAAAGACAAAAAAAAAAAAGAAUUUUAUUUGAGCCCUACUGAAAACUAAAGCCUGGGAGACAUAGAUUCAAGGAGUGCUUGAAUUGUGUUCUGCUAGACUACAAAAUGGGGCAGGCUUAUAAAGGGAAAAACUGCCAAAUUACAUAAGUUGCUUGUCAAGAAUUAUAAUUGGAGGUUUUGUGAAGUAAGGGUGCUAAUUAAGCAAGGAUUGACUGGGGUCUGAAAUGGUUGCAGAGUUACAAAAGGAGACCUUGAGAUCAUAGGUUGCAGCUGGCAGCUGCUAGCAGAUACUGUUUUUUCAAAUUAUCAUUAAUUUUUUUUGCCACACC